AUACUUACCAGUCAGGGGAGAUACCAUGAUCACUGAGGUGGUUUUCCCAGGGUGAGGUUUAUCCAUUGCACUCCAGAUGUACUGACCCCUGCGAUUUCCCCAAAUGCAGGAAAUUCGAGUGCAUAAUUUGUGGGGACUGUGUUCAUGCUCUCCCCUA